rnacentral:misc_RNA from 1 species
GAACUUUCCCAAGCAUAAGCAAAAGAUCUCUCGCAGAUUUCCAGACAGCGGCAGUGGAGGCAGUAUUCGAAGCGUUGAUCCAUUAGUUCUUGUUUCAAGUUAACCAUGGCAAUGUAUAUCCGAAUCAAACGCCAUAAGACAACCUACUUUAUCCAGUGUGAUCCAAUUGAGACAACUUUAAAUAUCAAGCAAAAAUUAGAGUCCCUUAUUGACCAACCAGUAGUUGAUCAGCGUUUGAUUCUGGUGGGGAGUGGGGAAGUAUUGGAGGAUUCCAAAAC